AACGACUGCUAAGACUGGAUAGGAGAUAAGAAGGCAUCUUUUUAUUUUUAAAAGACCUAGCAAUAGGUAUGCUUAGGGAAGAGCUUGCGUCACAUUAGUUAGUUGGUGGGGUAAUGGCCUACCAAGACGAUGAUGUGUAGCCGGGCUGAGAGGUCGAACGGCCACAUUGGGACUGAGACACGGCCCAAACUCCUACGGGAGGCAGCAGUAAGGAAUUUUCGGCAAUGGAGGAAACUCUGACCGAGCAAUGCCGCGUGAACGAUGAAGUAUUUCGGUACGUAAAGUUCUUUUAUUAGGGAAGAAAAGAUGGUGGAAAAACCAUUAUGACGGUACCUAAUGAAUAAGCCCCGGCUAACUAUGUGCCAGCAGCCGCGGUAAUACAUAGGGGGCAAGCGUUAUCCGGAAUUAUUGGGCGUAAAGGGUGCGUAGGCGGUUAAAUAAGUUUAUGGUCUAAGUGCAACGCUCAACGUUGUGAUGCUAUAAAAACUGUUUAGCUAGAGUUGGAUAGAGGCAAGUGGAAUUCCGUGUGUAGUGGUAAAAUGCGUAAAUAUACGGAGGAACACCAGAAGCGAAGGCGGCUUGCUGGGUCUUAACUGACGCUGAGGCACGAAAGCGUGGGGAGCAAACAGGAUUAGAUACCCUGGUAGUCCACGCCCUAAACGAUGAGUACUAAACGUUGGAUAAAACCAGUGUUGAAGUUAACACAUUAAGUACUCCGCCUGAGUAGUACGUACGCAAGUAUGAAACUUAAAGGAAUUGACGGGACUCCGCACAAGCGGUGGAUCAUGUUGUUUAAUUCGAAGGUACCCGAAAAACCUCACCAGGUCUUGACAUGCUUUUGCAAAGCUGUAGAAAUACAGUGGAGGUUAUCAGAAGCACAGGUGGUGCAUGGUUGUCGUCAGCUCGUGUCGUGAGAUGUUGGGUUAAGUCCCGCAACGAGCGCAACCCUUGUUGUUAAUUGCCAUCAUUAAGUUGGGGACUUUAGCAAGACUGCCAAUGAUAAAUUGGAGGAAGGUGGGGACGACGUCAAAUCAUCAUGCCCCUUAUGACCUGGGCUACAAACGUGAUACAAUGGCUGUUACAAAGGGUAGCUAAAGCGUAAGCUUCUGGCGAAUCUCAAAAAAGCAGUCUCAGUUCGGAUUGAAGUCUGCAACUCGACUUCAUGAAGUUGGAAUCGCUAGUAAUCGCGAAUCAGCAUGUCGCGGUGAAUACGUUCUCGGGGUUUGUACACACCGCCCGUCAA
rnacentral:rRNA from 1 species